AAAUUGAAGAGUUUGAUCAUGGCUCAGAUUGAACGCUGGCGGCAGGCCUAACACAUGCAAGUCGAACGGUAACAGGAAGCAGCUUGCUGCUUCGCUGACGAGUGGCGGACGGGUGAGUAAUGUCUGGGAAACUGCCUGAUGGAGGGGGAUAACUACUGGAAACGGUGGCUAAUACCGCAUAACGUCGCAAGACCAAAGAGGGGGACCUUCGGGCCUCUUGCCAUCAGAUGUGCCCAGAUGGGAUUAGCUUGUUGGUGAGGUAAUGGCUCACCAAGGCGACGAUCCCUAGCUGGUCUGAGAGGAUGACCAGCCACACUGGAACUGAGACACGGUCCAGACUCCUACGGGAGGCAGCAGUGGGGAAUAUUGCACAAUGGGCGCAAGCCUGAUGCAGCCAUGCCGCGUGUAUGAAGAAGGCCUUCGGGUUGUAAAGUACUUUCAGCGGGGAGGAAGGUG
rnacentral:rRNA from 1 species